rnacentral:lncRNA from 1 species
AAUUCAAAUCUAUUUUAAAAUCAAAUUCUAAUCAAAUUCUAAACCAAAGUCUAAUCAAAUUCUAAUGAAAUUCUAAGUAAACUCUAACCAAUCCUAAAUCAAUUGCUAAAUAGACUCUAAAUAAUUCUACAAAAAUCUUAUAAAAAAAUUAAUAAAUUCCUAUAGCUAUUUUAAAAUCUCAAGAAAUAUUAAUUAGACCACUGAUCUCAUCUAAAAAAAUUCUUAUAUUUUAAU